GAGGGAAUAUUGGUCAAUGGGGGAAACCCUGAACCAGCAAUGCCGCGUGAAGGAAGAAGGCCCUCGGGUUGUAAACUUCUGUGACAGGGGACGAAAAAAAUGACGGUACCCUGAGAGGAAGCUCCGGCAAACUACGUGCCAGCAGCCGCGGUAAUACGUAGGGAGCGAGCGUUGUCCGGAAUGACUGGGCGUAAAGGGCGCGUAGGCGGUGGAACAAGUUGUCUGUGAAAUCCCCGGGCUUAACCUGGGUGGUGCAGACAAAACUGUUUGACUGGAGUGCAGUAGAGGUAAGUGGAAUUCCUAGUGUAGCGGUGAAAUGCGUAGAUAUUAGGAGGAACACCAGUGGCGAAGGCGACUUACUGGGCUGUAACUGACGCUGAGGCGCGAAAGCGUGGGGAGCAAACA
rnacentral:rRNA from 1 species